GACGGAGGGUGCAAACGUUGUUCGGAAUCACUGGGCAUAAAGCGCACGUAGGCGGCGCACUAAGUCAGGUGUGAAAGCCCCCGGCUCAACCGGGGAAUGGCUCCUGAUACUGGUGGGCUAGAGGAUGGUUGGGGUGAGUGGAACUCCUGGUGGAGCGGUGAAAUGCGUAGAUAUCAGGAGGAACACCGGUGGCGAAAGCGGCUCACUGGACCUUUUUCUGACGCUGAUGUGCGAAAGCUAGGGUAGCGAACGGG
rnacentral:rRNA from 1 species